CCACGGUGGUUCCCACGAAAAAAAAUCCCACGCUUCCAGCGAGAGUCUGAGAAGGUAAUAGGGCAAAAUGUUACCAUGGGGUUGUCAGGAAGUCCCACCGCUUUUCAUAUCAGUGGAAAUUAACAUUCUCGGACGCGUUCUGUGCUAUAGUGUCUUUACUAUUCUUCGUUCUUAUCGGCAGCAGCACCUAACUACAUGGAUAAAACUACGUUCAAGACAAUGAACUGGGGGGCUACCCCAAAGACGCAACAUCUGGUGGUCAGGUCCCUCAUAACGAAACUUGUCGGGAAGGAGACGCUGGCCACCCAUAGCCUUACGGGACAGCCUUCAAACGCACACCCUUUGAAGGAGGCAAGGCCGCGCCUGGAUCCGGUGAUUGUGAACGACGUCAUUGCUGUCUGCCAGGCCAACAUGAAGAUGAAGAAGUCAGGUAGCGACUGCCAUAUCAAAGGCGUGUGUGGAUGCCAGGGCUGUGGCAAAACGGAGGUCGAAGACCCACACCGACGAUGAGGCCGGGGAACGCAACGUGUAGCAGGCCGCUGCACCAACGGAGACACACCUGGCCGGCGAACAUGACCUGAUACAUGAGCUUAUACACAAGACUGUGAC